rnacentral:lncRNA from 1 species
UGUGUCCUCGCUGCCCAGAAACUUAACCCACAGUGCUACUAUAAGUGUUUUCCAAGGAGGCAAGGAGACAGUGUUAGGCAUAAAUUUUAAAACGCUUGAGUUUUCAUACAGAGGUGAUGGUUUCUUUACUCCAGCCUAAAACAGUUGACUGUCCUUCUAUCCUGUUCAAGUUCUAUACCCAAUAUCUCUAAAACCAAUCCAUCUUCUUUAUUCAGCCUAGAAUCUAGAUUGGUUCCCUUCUCCCAGACCCUGUUUACAGUCCUGACUAACUGUUCUUCUUCUCACUCAAUAUUUAAGCCAAAUUUUGUUUUGAAAAGAAAUAAAUAUACUUGACAAGAAUCUUCUGAAACAGAAAACCAAGGAUUUCAAAGGCAGAUUUGGUUAAAGUAUCACACUAUCAUUAAGGGGGUUGGAGAGAUGGCUCAGGAGUUAAGAUCACUGACUGCUCUUCCAGAAUUUCCUGAGUUCAAUUCCCAGCAACCACAUGGUGGCUCACAACCAUUUGUAAUGGAAUCUGAUAUGCUCUUCUGGCGUGUCUGAAAGUAGCUACAGUGUAUUCAGAUAUGUAAAAUAAAUAAAUAGAUCUUUAAAAAAUUAUUAUUAUUAAUACCUCAUAUGAUGGUAUAGUGAUUUGAAUAAUAAUUUCCCAAAUUGGCUCAUAUAUUUAAAUACUUAGUGACCAAGGAGUUGUUCCAUUUGAAAGAAUUAGAAGAAUUAGGGGGUGUGAUCUUCUUAGUGUAGUUAUAGCCUUAUUGGAGGAGGUGUGUUACUAUCAGUGGGCUUUGAUGUUUCAAAAGCCCCUGCAAAGCCAGUCUCUCUCUUCUCUCUUCUGUCUUUCUCUUUGCAUAUGUAUCAGGAUAUAGCUCUCAGGUACUACUGUGCUCCUGCUGUGCCCCCACCAUGAUGAUAAUGGACUAACUCUCAGAAACUGUAAGCAACCCCCCCCCCACACACACACACACACGCACACAUAAAUGCUUCCUUUUAUGAGAGUUGCCUUGGUCUCUUGACAGCAAUAGAACAAUAACUAAGAGAGAAGUUCUCUGGACAAGAACAGUUUUGUCCCAUUCCACAGCGAACUCAAGAGUUCAGUUUUUAAAGUCACUCUAAGGUUCAUGCUAUAACUAAACAGAACACCAUCUCCCAGCCAUUGUUUAAUAAAAUUCAAUAGUAGGGUUUCUGAGAACUUCAGUAAUUCAAACUAGCCAUUUUCUUGCCUAGGUCAAUGACUAGUGUUUAUGCAUUUAACUACAAUCAUAUAUAAAUUCAUUAUUAACUCUGUGUAUGUGGUUAAGUUCUUGUUGGCAGCUUUAGUGUCUACUUAUCACUCAAUUAAAGGACAAUUUUCAUAAUUUGAAAGGUCUCCAAACAAUAAAAAAUGCUUUGCCGAUCUUACUCUGUCUUCCCUGUUUUCUAUGAUUCAAGUUUGUUUCUCUGGAACCUUAUCCCUUCCACCUGUUACUCUGUCCUCCAUUCUCCAUUCUCUCAAACGAUGCCUGUCAGUCUCUCUGUUUAGACAUCAGGCUCAGCUUUCCAGGAGGAAUAACUAUAAGAGAUUCCCCUCUGUGUCUUCUGUUGACCCUGAGUAUUUUCUCCAUCUUAACCUUCCUAAAAAUAUUCUCUAAGGGUUGUCUCUCUACAAGAAUGUAGGGGAUCUCCUACUGUAGGUUUGCCUCUCUGAUUCUUUGCCCUGUCCUGGCACAACUAAUUGUCAGACUCAGUGACCUGUCAGCAUUUGGAUGCCUAGUUUUACCAGUAGGUUUGGAUCAAAACUAGAGGGCUAUUAUAUCUAGCCUCUAACAAUAAGAACAUGAAUUAGGAGAAAAUAAUGUCUUUUAGAUCAAUUAUAUCUAAGAUUUCUUUUUAAAAGUGGAGGCACUUGUGUAUUUUCAUAAAAGACUUAAAUGGUGACCUUUUCUCAAAAUCUCAUUGAGUUCAUGAUGAUAAAUCUAUGGUUUAUUCAAUACCCAGUAAUUCAACAUAUACUAGUUAACUUUGUCAUCACUGUAGCCAAAUAAAUGACUCAGAAAAAUCAAGUAAAUGGAGGAGAGAUGUAUCAUGCACUUCUAAAUCAAUCUCAAGAGUUUCAGUGUAUCAUCACUCAGAUCCAUGCUUCUCAUCCAUGUGAGGCAGUGCACAUGGCAGAAGGAUAGAGCAGAGUCAAGCUGCUAUGUUAAGACAAACAGAAAACAGAGGAAGGCAAGAAGUGUCCAGGGAAAGAUACAGCUUUCAAAGAGAGUUUGUGAUGUACUUCUUCCACCUAGACAUCAUCUAUAAUAAUCUAUCCAGUAUGUCACCAAUAGAUUAACCCAAUGUUACCAUCUAUACCAUCAUGAUUCAAUUGCCUUCCAGUGGCUGGAUCCAGCAGCUAGAAGACCAUGUCUUCAACUCAUGAGCCUGUUUUAUAUAUGAACUCUAAUAGGUCCAUACCAUGAUUCUAGGUCUCUGGGUCACUACAUGUUAAACUUGGGACUUCAAAGAUAUUUAUCCUACUCUCUGCUCUCCCGGGAGGUUUUAUAAGGUUGCUGGCUGGGGUCUUUUAGCUUGCUGUCCUUGUUUAUUUUCUGAUUGUUUUGUUUGGUUAGGUCUGGCGUGGUGCCUAAAAUGAGUUUGCUUGCCGUUUGACUUUCACUGAAGUUAGGUUUUGCAAUCUUUUCAAAACAUCCUUCAGGAGCCCUCCAUAUAUCUAACUGUGGACAUCUCCCAGACUUUUCAAAACAAGCAUAACAUAAAUGAGGGGAAUUUAGAAGUUUCCAAACUGUACCAGAUGGGAAUUUGUUCCUGCUGCCC